ensembl:lncRNA
CAACACUCAGAGCUCCAUCACCGGCCUUUGCUUCAGGAGGAAUGGCUGCGGCCUUUCAGAACCUGCCAGCCUCCCUCCCAGCUCCUUACCGCCUGGAAUAUGGGUCACCGGGUCAGAUGUGUAAACAUCCCCCAUCCGCUGGGUGGGGCCCAGGGGAAGCAGAGGAGGAGGAGGAGGCGGGCCACUUUGAGGGAAUUAGGACAGGAAGUAAGGAAGCCUGGAGGCCAGUCCUUCUUUCUUUUCCAUUUCCUGCCAGAAAUGUGCAGAAAGUCCUUUUCUGUGCCCAACUCCCUGGUGGGAGGAAGGCGGGUCGUGGGGAUCGAGGGGCACCAGGGAGAAAUCAUCUCCAGCCCCUCCUCUUCCUGCCAAUUCACAAAUCCUAACCCACAGCCCAGCCCUGGGCUUAGGAAUGCAAUAAGGAACCCCUGGGCUCCCCCAUCCAACCGGUUUUCCCCCAUGCCCGGGGUCUGGAUGAAGUCUGGAAGCAGAGAAGACAGAGCCUGCACGUGUCAGAUGGGGGGCUGGACACUCCAUUCCAGACUUGCCCAGAGAUUGCAGAGCGGUCCAGGGAGGGCCAGGCAGGACAGCAGAGUGGUUACGAGCACAGUGCCAGGAGUGCCGCCCGGGAUUGGGUUAAGGCUGCGCUGGUGAGCAGCUGUGUGACCCUGAGCAGGUGACUUCUGUUUCCUCAUCUGUGAAAUGGGACUGUGAUGAGGUUUCAAUGAAUUGGUGCCUGUAAAGCACACAGCUCAGCUGGCAAAGAAUCUGCCUGCAAUGCGGGAGACCCUGAUUCGAUUCCUGGGUUGGGAAGAGCCACUGGAGAAGGGAUAGGCUACCCUACUCCAGUAUUCUCGGCCUUCUCUGGUGGCUCAGCUGGUAAAGUAUUCACCCGCAAUGCGGGAGACCUGGGUUUGAUCCCUGGGUUGGGAAGAUCCCCUGAAGAAGGGAAUGGCUACACACUCCGGUAUUCUGGCCUGAAGAAUUCCACAGACUGUAUAGCCCACGGGGUCACAAAGAG